CCCUCUCCGUCAUAAAUCUUUCUGCCCUAUUCCACCGGCAGUGAGAAAGCGGAGCCUCAGCUCCGGGCAUUAUUACGUCUCUGCACUGGAGCAAUCUCUUCCCAACAGCUCACAUUCUCCCCCCGAGGCCGAAUACCCUUUCUCCCGGAGCCUCACCAAUUUGGAUCGACGACGCAACGCAAGGCGGCCGGCCGGAACCCAGUCGAGUCAAGCUCCUCCCGGCGCGGCCUUCAGCAGUGCGCGGCGCUCCAGCUCGUCUUCACCGUCCAGCCCGAAGAAGAUACAGUUGGCCGGUGGAGACCAAAGAUGAGGCGGAGCAGUCUCGCGUGCGCGGCCAUCGUUCUGCUUGUCGCGUUCGGAUGGCUCGCAGCUGCUGGAGACUGCAGUCUUUCCCUCAAGUUUUGCGUCAUGAGGGAUUGCAAGACCAAAGGCGAGUUCUGGAAGUGGAAACCGGACUGCUUCUGCUGCCUCGUGCUGCCGGGCGUUCCGUGCUGGCACACGGUUAAGGAGUGCCAGGCAAAUUGCCGCUCCUGCAACCCCAAGUGCUAGUGCCGACAAGUGCUGGAUGCCGGCUGGUCCCUAGUUCAUGCCUCCAAAUAAUCGAUUUGAAACCUGGUGAAGCUGCGAAGGAGGGUGAUGCUUCACAUUCCCCGCUGAUCGAAGCCAAAAUACUGUUGGAGCGUGCAAGAUGGUCCCGGAUCUGAACAGUAACUAAAUACUUAAGUCAAUUGUGGAGCGAUCAUAAAACCCAUGAUGUAGAAAUAUUUGCAUUUCAAUGAGUGGUCGCUGAAGAGGCUUGUGUGCCCUGAAAUAUGUAUGGAGAUAAUCUUCAUAUGUAUCACUGCUGCUAUAAACAAUCGUUAUUGGGAACAGAGGGAUGGCGAGUUGGCAAGUAUAAA